rnacentral:snRNA from 1 species
GGAUGUGAGGGCAAUCUGGCUGCCACAUCUGUCGCAGGGUUGAUUCAGCUGAUCUGGCUGGCCAGGCAGGUGUCCCCUUCCUCCCUCACCGCUCCAUGUGCAUCCCUCCCGAAGCUGCGCGCUCAGUCAAAGAGGACGACCAUCCCCGCUAGAGGAGGACCAGUCUUCGGUCAAGGGUAUACGAGUAGCUGCGCUCCCCUGCUAGAACCUCCAAAGAAGCUCUCAAGAGUCAUCCCUUCAUUAUUUAUCGCCUCUGGGCAAACAUUCAAGACAAAUCUAGGCAUAAUCCAAAUAGGGAAAUACAGUCUCUGCUUU